GAAGUAUUAAAUAAACUGAAGCUUCUAACUUCAAGUUCAAGCGAUUAAACUUCGUUUAUACUUCU
rnacentral:tRNA from 1 species